CAAGCGUGUCAGUUUAUGGAAGGAUUUGAUAGAUUUGAUCUAGUUUAUGGAAAGAUUUGGUCCAGUGGCAAUUUGGUAAUUUCUGUCAAGUUUGGAGUGUCGUUUUUUUUGCGUUUUCGGAGCCUAAUUUCAUUGGAAACAGGUCAACGGUCAAAAGUCACAAGCGCUUUGCUCGUGAACUGCAGUGUUUCUUGGUCAAAUUCUAUCGUUUAGGCCUUUAAAAUUACAUUUUAU
rnacentral:lncRNA from 1 species